rnacentral:rRNA from 1 species
GACGAACGCUGGCGGCGUGCCUAAUACAUGCAAGUCGAACGCACAGUUUAUACCGUAGCUUGCUACACCAUAGACUGUGAGUUGCGAACGGGUGAGUAACGCGUAGGUAACCUGCCUGGUAGCGGGGGAUAACUAUUGGAAACGAUAGCUAAUACCGCAUAAUAUUGAUUAUUGCAUGAUAAUUGAUUGAAAGAUGCUAUUGCAUCACUACCAGAUGGACCUGCGUUGUAUUAGCUAGUAGGUGAGGUAACGGCUCACCUAGGCGACGAUACAUAGCCGACCUGAGAGGGUGAUCGGCCACACUGGGACUGAGACACGGCCCAGACUCCUACGGGAGGCAGCAGUAGGGAAUCUUCGGCAAUGGACGAAAGUCUGACCGAGCAACGCCGCGUGAGUGAAGAAGGUUUUCGGAUCGUAAAGCUCUGUUGUUAGAGAAGAACGGGUGUGAGAGUGGAAAGUGCACACUGUGCCGUUAUCUUACCAGAAAGGGACGGCUAACUACGU